rnacentral:tRNA from 1 species
UUAAUUCAUGCUGUUGUGUGAGUGUUAAGUUGUGCUUAUUUAAAGUAAAAGAGUUGGUGUCCGGGGGCGUAGCUCAGAUGGUAGAG